rnacentral:rRNA from 1 species
GCAUGGCUGUCGUCAGCUCGUGUUGUGAAAUGUUGGGUUAAGUCCCGCAACGAGCGCAACCCUUAUCCUUUGUUGCCAGCGAUUCGGUCGGGAACUCAAAGGAGACUGCCGGUGAUAAACCGGAGGAAGGUGGGGAUGACGUCAAGUCAUCAUGGCCCUUACGAGUAGGGCUACACACGUGCUACAAUGGCGCAUACAAAGAGAAGCGACCUCGCGAGAGCAAGCGGACCUCACAAAGUGCGUCGUAGUCCGGAUCGGAGUCUGCAACUCGACUCCGUGAAGUCGGAAUCGCUAGUAAUCGUGGAU